rnacentral:rRNA from 1 species
AUUAGAGUUUGAUCAUGGCUCAGGAUAAACGCUGGCGGCGUGCAUAAAACAUGCAAGUCGAACGGGCAGCCGAGAGGCUGUCAGUGGCGGACGGCUGAGUAACGCGUAAGCGACCUGCCCUGAAGUGGGGAAUAACUGCUCGAAAGAGUGGCUAAUACCGCAUGUGCUCGGGUCUUCGUUGGUGCGAGUAAAGCCGCAAGGCGCUUUGGGAUGGGCUUGCGUCCGAUUAGCUAGUUGGCGGGGUAGUGGCUCACCAAGGCGAUGAUCGGUAGCUGGUCUGAGAGGAUGAUCAGCCAGACUGGGACUGCGACACGGCCCAGACUCCUACGGGAGGCAGCAGUUAGGGAUUUUGCGCAAUGGCCGAAAGGCUGACGCAGCAACGCCGCGUGGGGGACGAAGGUCUUCGGAUCGUAAACCCCUUUUCCGAGGGAAGAUGAUGACGGUACCUUGGGAAUAAGCCCCGGCUAACUACGUGCCAGCCGCCGCGGUAAUUCA